AUGAACGCUGGCGGCGUGCCUAAUACCUGCAAGUCGAGCGAACAGACGAGGAGCUUGCUCCUCUGACGUUAGCGGCGGACGGGUGAGUAACACGUGGAUAACCUACCUAUAAGCCUGGGAUAACUUCGGGAAACCGGAGCUAAUACCGGAUAAUAUAUUGAACCGCAUGGUUCAAUAGUGAAAGACGGUUUUGCUGUCACUUAUAGAUGGAUCCGCGCCGCAUUAGCUAGUUGGUAAGGUAACGGCUUACCAAGGCAACGAUGCGUAGCCGACCUGAGAGGGUGAUCGGCCACACUGGAACUGAGACACGGUCCAGACUCCUACGGGAGGCAGCAGUAGGGAAUCUUCCGCAAUGGGCGAAAGCCUGACGGAGCAACGCCGCGUGAGUGAUGAAGGUCUUCGGAUCGUAAAACUCUGUUAUUAGGGAAGAACAAAUGUGUAAGUAACUAUGCACGUCUUGACGGUACCUAAUCAGAAAGCCACGGCUAACUACGUG
rnacentral:rRNA from 1 species